AUAAGAUUAAGUUAAUUAAGACUGUAUGUUUUCAAAACAUUUAGAGAUUUAUAUCAUCUUAUG
rnacentral:tRNA from 1 species